rnacentral:rRNA from 1 species
GACGGGGAGCACCACAACGGGUGGAGCCUGCGGUUUAAUCGGACUCAACGCCGGGAAACUCACCAGAUAAGACAGCUGAAUGAUAGUCGGGCUGAAGACUCUACUUGACUAGCUGAGAGGAGGUGCAUGGCCGUCGUCAGUUCGUACUGUGAAGCAUCCUGUUAAGUCAGGCAACGAGCGAGACCCACGCCAACAGUUGCCAGCUCGUCCUCCGGGAUGGUGGGGACACUGUUGGGACCGCCUCUGCUAAAGAGGAGGAAGGAAUGGGCAACGGUAGGUCAGCAUGCCCCGAAUUAUCUGGGCUACACGCGGGCUACAAUGGGUGGGACAAUGGGUAUCGACACCGAAAGGUGAAGGCAAUCUCCUAAACCCAUCCGUAGUUCGGAUUGUGGGCUGCAACUCGCCCACAUGAAGCUGGAAUCUGUAGUAAUCGUGUCUCAAAAUGGCACGGUGAAUAUGUCCCUGCUCCUU